rnacentral:rRNA from 1 species
GAGUUUGAUCAUGGCUCAGGACGAACGCUGGCGGCACGCCUAACACAUGCAAGUCGAACGGAGAUAUUUUGGUUUACUGAGAUAUYUUAGUGGCGGACGGGUGAGUAACACGUGAGCAACCUGCCUYUGAGAGAGGGAUAGCUUYUGGAAACGGAUGGUAAUACCUCAUAACAUAAMGAAGCCGCAUGACUUUGUUAUCAAAGAUUUAUCACUCAGAGAUGGGCUCGCGUYUGAUUAAAUAGUUGGUGAGGUAACGGCUCACCAAGUCGACGAUCAGUAGCCGGACUGAGAGGUUGAACGGCCACAUUGGGACUGAGACACGGCCCAGACUCCUACGGGAGGCAGCAGUGGGGAAUAUUGCACAAUGGGGGAAACCCUGAUGCAGCGAUGCCGCGUGGAGGAAGAAGGUUUUCGGAUUGUAAACUCCUGUCUAAAGGACGAUAAUGA